AAGAGCUGACGCAUAAAUACAAGUUCCCAGAGAAUUGUGUUCCUCAGUGAUACUUUGCUCAUCUUAUCUGCAAUGUGUGUGUAUGUUGAGCAGCUGUGGAGUUGAGAGCAUGAGGGAUGAGGUUAACACCAUGCUCUCCCUCGACCUGGUUGUACAGGGAUCGAUAAGAGACAGCCUCCAGCUCUUUUUCACUGAAUCAAAUGUGGAGUUCCGGUGUGAGUGCUGUGAGGGUCGGGUGUCAACCUUGAGGUGUCAUUUCCACACUCUGCCUCAGGUGUUGAUCCUCCACCUCAAGAGGUUCUGUCCCCUGACCCUCACCAAACAACACCAGGCGGUCACACUGGACCCCAUUCUGGACCUGAGGACACUAGGGGAAAGGUGAAAAAACAUAUAAUGUAGACGCACGCAUGCAAACACAGACAGGAGUACACACAAACACACACACACACAGAAACACCAAGACACUAAUUAUUGUGUUUUAACAGGAUUGAAGAUGUCCUUAGGACGCCUCCUCCAACCAGAGGUA
rnacentral:lncRNA from 1 species